rnacentral:tRNA from 1 species
GCAGGGAUUAGAAGGUACUGUCGAAUACUGUCGAAACCCUAAUCUUUAGGACUCAAAAUCCGGUGGCCGCGAGGCCGUGCGGGUUCGACCCCCGCCUUCGGCACCA